rnacentral:rRNA from 1 species
GUGGGGAAUUUUGGACAAUGGGCGAAAGCCUGAUCCAGCCAUGCCGCGUGCAGGAUGAAGGCCUUCGGGUUGUAAACUGCUUUUGUACGGAACGAAAAGACUCCUUCUAAUAAAGGGGGUCCAUGACGGUACCGUAAGAAUAAGCACCGGCUAACUACGUGCCAGCAGACGCGGUAAUACGCAGGGUGCAAGCGUUAAUCGGAAUUACUGGGCGUAAAGAGUGCGCAGGCGGUUAUAUAAGACAGAUGUGAAAUCCCCGGGCUCAACCUGUGAACUGCAUUUGUGACUGUAUAGCUAGAGUACGGUAGAGGGGGAUGGAAUUCCGCGUGUAGCAGUGAAAUGCGUAGAUAUGCGGAGGAACACCGAUGGCGAAGGCAAUCCCCUGGACCUGUACUGACGCUCAUGCACGAAAGCGUGGGGAGCAAACAGGAUUAGAUACCCUGGUAGUCC